UACGAAGGGGACUAGCGUUGUUCGGAAUCACUGGGCGUAAAGCGCACGUAGGCGGCUGUGUCAGUCAGGGGUGAAAUCCCGGGGCUCAACCUCGGAACUGCCUUUGAUACAGCACGUCUCGAGUCCGGAAGAGGUGGGUGGAAUUCCUAGUGUAGAGGUGAAAUUCGUAGAUAUUAGGAAGAACACCGGUGGCGAAGGCGGCCCACUGGUCCGGUACUGACGCUGAGGCGCGAAAGCUAGGGGAGCAAACGGG
rnacentral:rRNA from 1 species